rnacentral:miRNA from 1 species
GGUGGAAGGCAGGGGGGUGUA